rnacentral:tRNA from 1 species
GCCCAAGUGGUGAAAUUGGUAGACACGCUAUCUUGAGGGGGUAGUGACUUCGGUCAUGCCGGUUCAAGUCCGGCCUUGGGCACCA